UGUACCUACGGGGGGCAGCAGUGAGGAAUAUUGGUCAAUGGGCGAGAGCUUGAACCAGCCAAGUCGCGUGAGGGAUGACUGCCCUAUGGGUUGUAAACCUCUUUUGUAUGGGGGGAAUAAGCUUUACGAGUAGAGUGAUGACAGUACCAUACGAAUAAGCAUCGGCUAACUCCGUGCCAGCAGCCGCGGUAAUACGGAGGAUGCGAGCGUUAUCCGGAUUUAUUGGGUUUAAAGGGAGCGUAGGCGGGCCGUUAAGUCAGUUGUGAAAGUUCGGGGCUCAACCCCGGAAUUGCAGUUGAAACUGC
rnacentral:rRNA from 1 species